rnacentral:rRNA from 1 species
GACGUAGGGGCCGAGCGUUGUCCGGAAUUACUGGGCGUAAAGCGUGCGCAGGCGGCUUUGCAAGACAGAUGUGAAAUCCCCGGGCUCAACCUGGGAACUGCAUUUGUGACUGCAUGGCUGGAGUGCGGCAGAGGGGGAUGGAAUUCCGCGUGUAGCAGUGAAAUGCGUAGAUAUGCGGAGGAACACCGAUGGCGAAGGCAAUCCCCUGGGCCUGCACUGACGCUCAUGCACGAAAGCGUGGGGAGCAAACAGG